rnacentral:lncRNA from 1 species
GAAAAAAUAUUAAUAUUAAUUAUGUGUACCUUCAGUACAAAAAUGAGAAAAAAAAUCAAAUAUUCUGAUCAAAAAAUAAAAGAAAAGAAAUAAGAAAAAAUAAGAAAAAAAUCAGUAAUUCAAUAUAUUCUUGAAAAAAAAACAUCUAUUUGUCUAUGGAUUAUUAUCUCCAAUUCAUAUGAUAAGAUAGAGUCACAAUUCAUAUGAUAAGAUAGAGUCAAUCAGUCUCAGCAGAAGAUGCUUUCUUCACAUGUGAGCAGUGAAUCCAAGAGUCUCUUUCUCCAAUCUUUAUAGAUGUUGGAGUAGUUAAUAAUAUUUGGAAUGGUCCUUCCCAUGAAGGUUCAGUUGCUCCAGUUCGCUUGAAAUUCUUGAUAUAAACUUUAUCUCCUGGGUUCAGGUCAUGCAGAGAAAAGUCUAAUGGUCCAGCUUGUACUGCAGCUCCGGAUUCAUGAAGUUCAUGUAGUUUGUGCUGUAACUCCUGUAUAUAGGAAGCAAUAGUAAUAUCUCCCCCUAAUAGCGAUGUAUAAGCCGGGGAGAAAGGCUUAGCCUGUAUAGGCGGAUGUCCAAAAAGCAUCUCAAAUGGUAAAAUAUGUAAGUCUCCUCUAGGCCUGCUUCUAAGAUAAAAUAGGGCCAGAGGGAGAAUUUCAGGCCAUUUUAAAUGGGUCUCAGUGCAUAAUUUGCCAAUCAUAGUCUUAAGUUCUUUAUUCAUCCUCUCCACUUGGCCUGAGCUCUGGGGGUGAUAUGGAACAUGGAAUUUUGGAGUUAUCCCCAAGUUUUUCUAUUUUAUUCUCAAUAUUUCCUAUUUUAUCCUCAAUUUUUUCUAUUGUAUCCUCAAUUUUUUUCUAUUUUAUCCUCAACAUUUUCUAUUUUAUCCUCAAUAUUUUCUAUUUUAUCCUCAUUUUGUUUUAUUUUAUCCUCAUUUUGUUUUAUUUUAUCCUCAUUUUGUUUUAUUUUAUCCUCAUUUUGUUUUAUUUUAUCCUCAAUAUUUUUUAUUUUUUCAUCUCUAAAUAUAGUAUUGAGGAGUACAAAAAUGACAGUACCUAUUAAUAUAAAAAUUUGGAGGUAUCCUUCAUUCCUCAAUGCCCCUACUUCUUCAGCUGCCAUAUAAUUGUCAAAGAAUGUAGUACUCAUUUUUAUAUAUAUAUUUUGUAAUUUCACAAAACACGUGGGGAGCAGGGCAAAGCAACAAACUUUCCACAGGGUUUUUUUUUUUCUAAUCCAGGAAGUUGUUCCUUAAGGGAAAGGAUAUUUAGAAACAGUUCUUCCAGCCAGGACUUUAGAGUCCUGUUGCUGAGAUUUAAAAACAGCUGUUUUCUGUCUAUCAGAGUCACACAGCUGGGAAGUAUCUGAGGUCCGAUUUGAACCCAGGACCUUCUGCCUCUAGGGCUGGCUCUCAAUCCGCUGAGCUACCCAGCUGUCCCUUAAGAUUAAAGGGAAGAAAAAGAAAAAACUGCUGAUUCUAAUUUAACUUAAGGAGAAAAGAGAAAAAGUUUUUUAUACUCACGUGUUCUAGCAGCUGUGUCUUUAAGCCAAGUUUUUUGUUAAAAAAAAAAAAGGACUAAGUGGUGAAACAGUAUAGUAAAAAGGCAAGGAAAAAGUUUUAUUGAGAGGAUUCUUUAGACUCCCGUGUGGUCAGCCACAAUGUUACAAGUGAAUCACUUUAAAAGACUGAUAUAUAUUAAUUUAAGGUCGCCAAGGAAUCAGCUAUGUAAUUCCUAAAUGAAAAACUCAAGUCAGCCGUCAGCCUUUUUUGGAGUUUAAUUACAAUAGGAGCAAGAAAGGAAUUAGAGAUAUAUAUAGAGAGAGAAAGGGGAGAGAAGGGAAUAGGGCUUAAAUACCCCUUCUGUUUAGGCUGGGCCAAAAGGCCCAAGCCCUUAGAUAGCUGGGGCAAAGAAAAGAGAUCAGUCCCUUUCACUCACGUGUCCAAAAUGGAGAAACAGUCUCAGAGGCCCCCACCUUCAGCUUUCUUCAGAGCAAGCUUCCUCAGACCCCAGGAACCACACCGACCAAAAACUCAAUCCUCUCCUUUGAGUCUCCAGACCCUCCUAUCUUUAAGGACACCAUCCAAGUUGCCUCCCCUCAGUCCUCACAUCUACCAAUCACUCUUCAUCAAUUUCCCUGUCAAUGGAGGCUCUCGCUUAACCCAGGACCGCCCAGAGGUUUCUGGCUUUUGCACAUGUCUGUUGAAGGUCAUAUUUUUCAAAUGAUUAAAUCUUUACUCCUUUGUUCCAGCCCUUUCUAAAUCCUGUUAACUUGAGUAUGGUAGAGAUUGGAAUAAUUAAAUUUUGAUCUAGGCUGCAGCCCUUACUCAAUCCUAUUAGGACUGAAUAGGGUGGAGUAUCUCCAUUGUAUCAAUUCUAAAAUCAAUCAAGACUCAAAGAAAUUCCUGUUCUAUGCUUAAGCAUAGGUCAAAGUCCUUUCCAUUGUUCAGCAAAAGGUUUCUGUCCUAAAGUAAUCUUAAGAAGGGAAGAGAAGGAACCUCCCAUGCCAAUGGAGUUCCCAUUCCAAUAGACUAUCAGUAAGAAAUUUUCCAAGUAUGAAAUAUCCCAAUGGUGAAAUUUUCAACAAUUAUAAGUCUAAGGAAAUUUGAGGUUUACAAUACCCAGUUGAAUAUAAGGUCAUAGAGGAAUGGAUCUAUUCUAAUUUUUAGGCAGCUAGUUAGCACAAUGGAUAAGAGCCCUCUGCCCUUGAGUCAAGAAGAUCUGAGUUCAGUGCAGCCUCAAAUACUUAGCUCUACAAGUCUAAGCAAGUCACAAAACUUCACUUUGCCUCAGUUUCCUCAUUUGUAAAGUGGAGAUAAUAAUGGCACCUACCUACCUCCCAAGGUGGUUGUGAAGAUCAAAUGAGAUAAUGUUUCUAAAGAGGUUUAUAAAUAUUUAAGACACUAAAUAAAUGCUAUUGUUGUUGUUGUUGUUAUUAUUAU